rnacentral:tRNA from 1 species
GGGAGUAGUCAGUAGCCUGGUGGCGCUCACGGCCUUCAAAGCCGAUGGGGGAAAUAACAUUUCCUCGGUGUGUUCGAUUCACAUCUGCUCCC